UGAAAACAUGCUGUGAUAAAUUCAGACCGAAAUUCAUAGUAUUUGAUAAGUUACAGCUCAUAGUCGCCGACGUAUCGUAAGCGAUUGUCUACCAGGCUUUAAACUUUAAACGCGUUUUUCUCGAAUCAUCAUUUUCUGAAAUGGUCAAGAUCCUACAAGAAAAAACAACAUGAACAGCCGCUAUCACCUUGACCAGUGAACUACCUUUUUUUGUUGGGGACUACUUUGACUUAAAAAAAAUAUAUGUUAAAAAUGUAAAAAACGAAAAAAAAAAUUUUUUUUCGUAUAUUUCAAAAUACAAAUAAAAAUAUAUUGAAAAAUCAACAUGAUUGAAGUUUGUUGUCGCAUAAAAAAAAAAUACCGAAAAA